AGCUUUAUGUAAUUUAUAUAAAGUAAAACCUGCCCGCUGAAUAAUUGAAUGGCCGCAGUACCUUGACUGUGCUAAGGUAGCAUAAUAAAUUGGCUUUUAAUUGAGGUCUUGAAUGAAAGGAUUAAUGGAUAAUUACUGUCUUAUAUUAAUUUAUAAUAAUUUACUUAGAAGGUGAAAAUUCCUUUAGGUAUAAUAUAAUAGACGAGAAGACCCUAGGAGUUUUAAAUAUAAUUUUGUUGGGGCGACAUUAUAACAGUAUAAUAACUUAUAAAUUUAAAUUAUUUUGAAACGAAAAUUUUUAAUAAUAAUUAAACUACCCUAGGGAUAACAGCAUAAUUUAUUUAAGGUUUGUGACCUCGAUGUUGGAUUAAGGGCAUUUAAGAUUAAUAAUAUUGAAUGAUAGUUCUGUUCGAACUUUUUACCUU
rnacentral:rRNA from 1 species